UCUCUUCCUUCGUCAACAUAUCACCAGCGCCGUCAUCAUCGUACCCAGUACCAAGACCACCACCACCACCGUCGCAGCAGCACAAACCACUGCUCUAAUCCCCUCGGUGUUCUAUAAUUUUUCCGCUGCAAAUUUUCGAUCUCUACUCCAAGCUUCGACACCAUUAAUCAUUCCUUCACCACAACACCAUCAACACCAUCGUAACCAGCAACGUCAACCACCACCAGCACCAGCAUUAAGUACCGUCAAAUACUUAACAAGCAACAUCAACCACCGUCAAAUACCGUCAUUCAUCUCUACCUAAUCAUUACACACCAUCACCACCACCACCAUAACCAGCAACACCAUUAGCACCACUAUAACCAGCACUACCAUCAUAACCCCCACCACCAUUACCAAAACCGGCAAAACCAUCAGCGCCACCGUAACCAGGUACAUUAUUUUCUUUUUCAAUUUCAAAUUCAAAUCCAAUUUUAUCAAUUCCAAAUAAAAGAAUAAUUUUAGAUUCGCAUCACCGUUUUGGUUUUUGUAAUAUUUAUUGAUUUGAAAUUGGUUAUAAGAAAUUGUCAUGGGAAGAGAUGAAAGAAAAAAACAAGAAGGGUCUUUGUUUCAAUUGUGAUGCACCGUUUAAAUCUGGCCAUAUUUGUCCUAAUAAGCCGGGUUACUUGCUUUUAGAGAUGGAUCCUAAUUCUCCUUAAGGCAUCACUGAGAUUGAGCAUACCAUUGAAGACCAACAAGUGAGUGACGAUAUUCCUAUUUUUGAAUCAACCCCUGUGAAUGAUGUGGAUUUGAACUUACAUGUUAGAUACCACACACUCAAGCUGCUUAAGUCUCACCUAUCUGAUGCACAUGAUCGAAUGAAGAAAUACACUGAUUCUCAUAGAACUGAACGAUAAUUUUCAGUUCAUGAUUUUGUUUAUCUCCGUCUCCAACCUUACAGACAGAUAACAGUUGCUAAUCAGUCUUUUUCGAAGCACCUCGUUUUUAUGGCCCUUUUAAAGUUCUUGAGAAAAUUGGAAUUAUGGCAUAUAAACUGAAUAUGGCUAUCACUAGUAGAAUACAUCCAGUAUUCCAUGUUUCACAGUUAAAACUGAAGUUAUGUCCUACUGCUGUUGUUGAAGCUACAUUACCUACCAUUAUUGACUACGACAAAUGAGAACCAGAAGAAAUUUUAGAGAGGCAGAUGUAUAAGAAAGGAAACCGAGCUGCUACAAAGUGGUUGAUCAAAUGGAAGGAUCACUCCAAAGAUUGGGAAGAUGCUUAUGAUCUCAUUGCACGCUUUCCAUAGUUAUAGGCUCGAGGACAAGCCUUGUUUUAGGCGGGGUGGGAUUUUGCGAUGCCAACUCAUACUUCUUUUAUUUCAGUUAGCUUAUUAGCUUAGUAUUUAAUUUCUUUAUGUGCUUAUUAUCAUCAGUUUCCUAAUUUACAGGUUUCCUUAAAUUAAUUUGCUUUCUUAUCAAGUUUAUUCAGCUAUAUAUAGGUCGAGUCUAAGCUUGUAACAAACUACCUAUCAAUAUUAAGAAGUUUAUUCA